rnacentral:misc_RNA from 1 species
UUUUAGAAUUUUUAGAGCUCAUUUAGAUAGGUUUUGCAAAAAUGGUUAGUUGUAGAGACUAAAUUAUAAUUUUUUAAAAUUAUGGUUGUGUGACUUGUGGAUAUAGAAAUGUAUUUUUGAACCCUUUUGUAGGUUGGAUAGAUCCUAGGUAUAGGAGAAAUUUUGUCAGAUUUUCGACACGACUUAGGGUAUCUUUGAUUUUUUUAAAAUUUGUAUUGAGUCAAAUAUAUUAAA